GUCUACAGCCAUUCCAUCCUGAAUGUGCCCAACCUGUCUGAUCUCAGAAGCUAAGCAGGGUCAGGCCUGGUUAGUUCUUGGAUGGGAGAAAUACAGUUAGUUUUUGCAU
rnacentral:rRNA from 1 species